rnacentral:snRNA from 1 species
AUACUUACCUGGCAGGUAAGAUCCAUGGUCACGAAGGUGGUGUUCCCAGGGCAAGACAUAUCCAUCCCACUCCGCAGGUGCUGACCACUGCACUUCCCAAAAGGUGGGAAACUAGGCAGCAGAAUUUGUGGUGGGGAACUUCAUGCUCUCCU